UACGAAGGGGGCUAGCGUUGCUCGGAAUUACUGGGCGUAAAGCGCACGUAGGCGGCUUCUUAGGUCGGUGGUGAAAUCCCUGGGCUCAACCGAGGAAGUGCAUCCGAAACUGCGGAGCUUGAGUAUGGAAGAGGGUCGCGGAAUUCCCGGUGUAGAGGUGAAAUUCGUAGAUAUCGGGAGGAACACCAGUGGCGAAGGCGGCGACCUGGGCCAAUACUGACGCUGAGGUGCGAAAGCGUGGGGAGCAAACAGG
rnacentral:rRNA from 1 species